AUAGAACAAUAAAAUAUAUUUCUGAAAACUCAGUUACAGUGCCAGCUAAGAGAAAAUAUUCUGCAAAUUUGGAGUGCUGUCCUCCUAGAUGCAAUAUGUGCUUUGAUCCAUCAAUAAGUAAAUGGUUCAGUUUCUCCCACAAGCAAAGCAUGCAGGUCUUGGAAUCAAGGAUUGGAAGUAGGAGCAACUCCUUUCACAACUAAAUAUAUUAAUAUACUGGAAGCUUGGAAGCUUGAAGUUUUUCGGAUUCUCACCCCAGUGACCUUAAGCUCUGCUGAUUGAUAAAUCUUUUUUUUUUUUUUUUUGAGAUGGAGUUUCUCUCUUGUUACCCAGGCUGGAGUGCAAUGGCGCGAUCUCGGCUCACCGCAACCUCCGCCUCCUGGGUUCAUGCAAUUCUCCUGCCUCAGCCUCCCGAGUAGCUGGAAUUACAGCAACGACAAGUAGCCAAUCGUCGCAACAGAAAAGCCCGCCAAGCCUCGGCCUAUCCCGAACCGACACAUAACCCUCUGAGCCACCUCAGCAGCCUGCCCAGAGAUGGACAGCCUAUCCUAAACCCCCACGACACUCCGCCAGCCCUGUGUCCACGCCCCGUCCACCCUCCUAUAAAACCUUCCUACCUCAGCUGCGCAGUUGCAGCCAGCCCCGAUCUCCUUCCUUUCCUGGCCUGCCCGCUGGUCCCAAUAAACCUGAACUCGGCUUCCAACUCUCGCUCGAGCUGUUACUUGGGAUCGGUACCGGGCAGGGGUCUACAAGGGGGUCGCACAAUGAUAAGGGCUGUGAAUAAAAAAAAAAGCAAAAUAACAGGGGGAUUUUGGGACUGGGCAAAGGUGCUAUUUUAAAUAGAGAUAUUCAGGGAAAAAUCUCUCUCAUUAGUUAGAAUUCUGAAGGAGUGACACCAAAAGACAUCUGAAGAAAAACAUUCUAUGUGGCAGGAAUAAGAAGUGCAAGGACUCUGGAUGGGAAUAAGCUUGGCCUAUUGCCACAGCAUCAAGAGGUCAGUGUGGUUAAAAGAGGGUGAGUGGAAAGAGAGUGACAUGGAUGAGGACAGGGAGAUGACUUGUUUUGGAAGGUCUGCUGGAUCACCCUAAGAACUGUGGAUUUUAUUUUAAGUGAGUUGGGAAGCAUUAGAAGGGUUUUGAAAGUGAUACAUAUAUGAAUGCUCUUUUAAGAGAUUAACCAGGCUGCUAUGUGGAAAAUCGUCUGUAGUGGUGUUAUAAAAAAGUCAAACUCUGUAAAAUAUUUUAAGAGGUUUAUUCUAAGGCAAGAAGAGUGACCAUGGCCCACAGUACAGUUUAAAGAGAUCCUGAGAAAGUGUGUCUGAGGCUGUCGCAUUACAGUCUGUUUUUACACAUUUUAGGGAGACAAUGAUAGAAGUUAUAGACAAGACAUAAACCAAUACAUGUAAGUAUACGUUACUCCAACCUAGAAAGAUGGCAAAGUGGGGGGCUUACAGGUCAUAGAUGGAUUCAAAGAUUUUCAUUUUUUUUCUUUCAUUUUUUUUCUUUGAGACAAGAUCUUGCUCUGCCACCAAAGCUAAAGUACAGUGGUGUAAUCAUGUCUCACUGUAGCCUCAGCUUAUUAGGCACAAGUGAUUCUCCCACCUCAGCUUCCUGUGCAGUUGGGACUACAGAUGCACAUCAACCUACCUGACUAGUUUUUGUCGUUGUUGUUUUGUUGUCUUGUUUUUUGUUUUUUAAUUUUCUGUAGAGAUAAGAAAAUUAAAAAAAAAAAAAAAAAAAACAAUGUUUCCCUAUGUUGCACAAGCUGGUCUCAAACUCUGGCCUUCAAGUGAUCCUCCAACAUUGGCUUCCCAAAGUGCUGGGAUUACAUGUGUGAGCCAUUGUGCCUGGGCAACUCAAAGAUUUUCUGAUUGGCAAGUGGUUGAAAGAGUUAAGCUAAAGACUUGAAAUCACUAGUAGGAAAUGCUUGAGUUAAGAUAAGGGAGUUUGUGGAAGUCAAGGUUCUUGUUUAUAUAGAUGAAGCUUCCAGGUAACAGGCUUGAGAAAGAAUAGAUGGUAUCUUUUUUUAGGAUCUUAGAAGGUGUCAGACUCUUCAUCUCUCCUAGAUGUGGGAAAGACCUAGCUACAUUCAUAGAGAUUCUCUACAGAUGCAAAAUUUCCCCUAUAGAUGACAACAUUGUAGGUUCAUUUCAAAAUAUGUCAAGAAAAUAUAUUUAGGAGUAAAAUAUUUUAAUUUCCUUCAGAGUCUGCUAUCUGUCAUGCCAUGCCAUACCAGAGUCAUGUUGGCAUUUGGUAUCUUAUUACUACAAAGAGUCUGUUUUGCCAGUCUUAUAAUCUCGAUUUUAAUGUCAAUACUGGUCAUUUGUGCCUAAACUCCAAAGAGGAGAGGGUACAAUGAGGCACAACUGAUCCCCACUUCCUGUUAAAGUCCAGAAUUUAGUUUUUCAAAGAGGGUCCAUUCAGUCAAUUGGGAAGCUUAGAUUUUAUUUAUGGCUCACAGAAGCAAAGGUAAAGAAAUAGGACCAGUGUAAACCAAAAAUAAAAUUCUAAGUUUCCCCCCAACCAUCUGAAUGAAUUUCCUCCUCAGCCAGGGCCCUUAAAAUUUAACCUGAGAGUCUGUUUGAGGCCCUUAUGGGAACUGGGGGUCAUGCCUCAUUAUACCUCUCCAGCACUGACAUCAGCAAAGACUUUCGAUCUGAUAAGAAACAUGUUACGAGGUAUUAUUUCUGAAGGCUGCUAACUAAAAGCUUCAUCUGCAUAGUAAAACUUUGGUCUGUACAACCUCUUUAACAACCCUGACAUUCCUACAUAUCGAUCCCAGGUCUUUAGACAAACUCAACCAAUUUUCAAUCAGAAAAUAUUUAAAUAUACCUUUAGCCUAGAAAUUCCUUCCCCAGCCUCCUACUCACCCCCCACAUUUCAAAUUGUCCUAUCUUUCUAGAACAAAUCAAUGUAUUUCUGAAAUGUAUUUGAUGGAUGUCUCAUGCCUUCCUAAAAUGUGUAAAACCACCACCUCGGGCACAAGUUCUCAGGACCUGCUGAGGGCUAUGUCACAGGCUAUG
rnacentral:lncRNA from 1 species